GGUAGCAUAGUCAAGACCGCAUUUUACCAGCUUCUUUACAAGAAUAUCAUGGGGCACCUUGUCAAAUGCCUUGCUGAAAUCAAGGUAGGCUACAUCCACUGCGUUCCCUUCAUCUACCAGGCUUGUAAUUCUGUCAAAAAACGAGAUCAGGUUAGUCUGACAUGACUUAUUUUUCAGAAAUCCAUGCUGACUAUUGGUGAUCACAGCAUUCCUUUCUAGGUGCUCACAGACUGUUUGCUUAAUGAUCUGCUCCAGAAUCUUCCCUGGUAUUGAUGUCAGACUGACUGGGUGGUAAUUAUUUGGGUCCUCUCUUUCCCCCUUUUUGAAAAUAGGGACAACAUUUGCCCUCCUCCAGUCUGCCAGGACUUCGCCUGUUCUCCAGGAAUUCUCAAAGAUGACUGCCAGUGGUUCUGAGAUCACAUCUGCCGGUUCUUUUAAUACUCUUGGAUGCAGU